AUGGGAAGUACAACGAGUUGCGAAGUCGCGAGGCUAAGCUAAUCUCUUAAAGCUUCUCUCAGUUCGGAUUGCAGGCUGCAACUCGCCUGCAUGAAGCCGGAAUCGCUAGUAAUCGCGGAUCAGCACGCCGCGGUGAAUACGUUCCCGGGCCUUGUACACACCGCCCGUCACACCACGAGAGUUUGUAACACCCGAAGUCGGUGAGGUAACCUUUUGGAGCCAGCCGCCUAAGGUGGGAUAGAUGAUUGGGGUGAAGUCGUAACAAGGUAGCCGUAUCGGAAGGUGCGGCUGGAUCACCUCCUUUCUAAGGAA
rnacentral:rRNA from 1 species